rnacentral:tRNA from 1 species
ACUAUUUUGGCAGAUAAGUGCGGUGGAUUUAGAAUCUAUUUAUGUAAAUUUUUUAUUUACGGGUAGUA